rnacentral:misc_RNA from 1 species
CAAUUCACCCCUAGAGGUGACUCAGGACCUAACUGUCCAAUAAAUUUGGAAAAAUGAAAAUUUUGGAAUGUAGAAUUAAAUUAAAGAAAUGAGGAAAAAUAAAGAAAAAAGAAAAAGAUUGAAAAAUGAAAUUAUUGCAUCACUUUUGAUGACAUCACAUAUGAUGUCAAAAUAAAAUUUAAUUUACCCAAAAUUUUGACUAGUCAAAUAGCUAAAUAAUUACAUAAAACAAAAAGAAAAAAAAUUAUGGUCACCUUCAUCAUUUGUGCCGUCCCUCAUCCCUCUCCUCCCUCUCACUUUAAAACCUCCAUUUCCAUCUUCCAUUCAAGCUUGAUCUCAAGCUUGAUUCCUCUGCACUUGACCCUAAUUUCUCCCAAAAUUCUCUAUAAAACCUUGCUAUCUCAACUUGAGAAGGAAUUUGAAAAAGGAAAGAAAGGAGAAAAGUGAAGGAAAUUGAGAAUUGAAUUCCAAAGAAGAGGUUAGUGAUUUAAAUUGAAAUUUUUAGUUUGAUUUAUGUGUUUAUGAUUCCAUACACUUAGAAUUAAAGUGAAAAUGCAAACAAAAUUAUCAUGGGGACAAAUCGAAAAUUUCGGCCAGCAAUAGAGGGGGGGUAGAAUUGCAUGACUUUGAUGAAAUUAAAGGGUUAAUUGAGAUGAAUUAGGUGUGUAGAUGUUGGAAAUACACUUUAAUUUCAUUAGUUGAAUGAAAUUUAGAAAUUAGGGUCUUGAGUGUUGAAAUUGGGGAAAAAAUUGUAGGAAAUGGUCAAUUGAUGCAAUUGACCAUAAUUGAGGUUAAAAAUGAUCAAUUGUGACCAAUUGUGAUGUGUUCGAAUGAGUGAAAACAAAAUGCAAUUCAGAUUGGUUAGGAGUCCCAAUCUAGCAGAUUGACCUAGGUCCCUUUGAGGGACCAAAACUAAAAUUUAACCAACCCAAUUGGUGUGAAGCCAAUUGGGAAUGAAAAUAGACAGAUAAUGAUACAUUUUUCAUUUAGAAACCAUUCCCAGAAAAUAACAUUAACAUAGUGAAUAAUUAGGUCAAGUCCGGGCAUUGUGCACUGCCACUGUACCAAAAGGACCAAAUGAACAGUGGCCAUAACUUCCUCUAUAAAGGUCAGAAUGACCUGAUUUUCAUACUAUUGAAAAGGUUAGCCAUAGGAGCACAUUUUUCAUAAAGGUCACAGAACUCAGAUCUUCCUCUAACAAAGUCAAAUUGUUAGCACAAGUUAGGACAACAAAACUGUCCAUAACCAAUCUGCCCAGAAUU